ensembl:lncRNA novel transcript
AGCACUGGCACAGAGGCAGCACAGCUAUGUGGGAAGAACACAGGCUGGUCUGCAGGUGUCUAGAUUUGGAUCCUAGCUCUGUUACUUACUACUUUGUGACUUUGAGCAAAUUCACGUCUCUGAAAGAUCUGUAGUGUCAUGAGGCAAAGUGCCAGCCAAGCAGGGACGCUCUGGCAUCAGACAGCUUGGGUUCUAAUCCUGGCUCCACCACCCACUAGCUGUGUGAUCUUGGGAAAGUGACUUCAUCUCUCUGUGCACCAGGACCAGAGACCAUGCUGGGAAGCCUGGCUGCUCUUUGAGGACUGAGAUGAACUUAGCAAUGCAGAGAAGAACAAAGAGAGGCUUGUGCUCACCGUGUUCCAGAGGGAUCACCGUGUUCCCUUUGUUCAUUUGAGGACAUGAAUACAACUAUGGUCUUUGGACAAAAGGCAUAUGCCAGGCAGUAUGAAUGGUCUCUCUUGUCUGUGCAAUUAGUAUGUAAGAGCACGUGAACUGGUGCCUGGGACCUCUACCUGUUUUAGUAUGAUAGCACCACAGUAAAGGGCCUGGACUUUGUAUGAGCUUGGGAAAAUCAUGUCACCUCUGCAAGUCUUGGUUUCCCUGGGUGUUAAAUGUCAAUUUAAGUAAAAUGCUAUCUACUUU